UGGGGAAUAUUGGACAAUGGGCGAAAGCCUGAUCCAGCCAUGCCGCGUGGGUGAAGAAGGUCUUCGGAUUGUAAAGCACUUUAAGUUGGGAGGAAGGGCAGUAAGCGAAUACCUUGCUGUUUUGACGUUACCGACAGAAUAAGCACCGGCUAACUCUGUGCCAGCAGCCGCGGUAAUACAGAGGGUGCAAGCGUUAAUCGGAAUUACUGGGCGUAAAGCGCGCGUAGGUGGUUCGUUAAGUUGAAUGUGAAAGCCCCGGGCUCAACCUGGGAACUGCAUCCAAAACUGGCGAGCUAGAGUAGGGCAGAGGGUGGUGGAAUUUCCUGUGUAGCGGUGAAAUGCGUAGAUAUAGGAAGGAACACCAGUGGCGAAGGCGACCACCUGGGCUCAUACUGACACUGAGGUGCGAAAGCGUGGGGAGCAAACAGG
rnacentral:rRNA from 1 species